AAUAUUGCACAAUGGGGGAAACCCUGAUGCAGCGACGCCGCGUGAGCGAAGAAGUAUUUCGGUAUGUAAAGCUCUAUCAGCAGGGAAGAAGAAAUGACGGUACCUGACUAAGAAGCACCGGCUAAAUACGUGCCAGCAGCCGCGGUAAUA
rnacentral:rRNA from 1 species